rnacentral:rRNA from 1 species
AUUGAACGCUGGCGGCAUGCCUAACACAUGCAGGUCGAACGGCAGCACAGCCGCAGCAAUACGGUGGGUGGCGAGUGGCGGACGGGUGAGGAAUGCAUCGGAAUCUGCCCGAUCGUGGGGGAUAACGCAGCGAAAGGUGCGCUAAUACCGCAUGAGAUCGAGAGAUGAAAGCGGGGGACCGCAAGGCCUCGCGCGAUCGGAUGAGCCGAUGCCGGAUAAGCUAGUUGGCGGGGUAAAGGCCCACCAAGGCGACGAUCCGUAGCUGGUCUGAGAGGAUGAUCAGCCACACUGGGACUGAGACACGGCCCAGACUCCUACGGGAGGCAGCAGUGGGGAAUAUUGGACAAUGGGCGCAAGCCUGAUCCAGCAAUGCCGCGUGUGUGAAGAAGGCCUUCGGGUUGUAAAGCACUUUCAGUGGGGAGGAAAAGCUGGCGGCUAAUAUCCGCCGGCCGUGACGCUACCCACAGAAGAAGCACCGGCUAAUUCCGUGCCAGCCGCCGCCGUAAAAC